rnacentral:rRNA from 1 species
UACGUAGGGUGCGAGCGUUGCCCGGAUUUACUGGGCGUAAAGGGCGCGUAGGCGGCGCGGUAAGUCACUUGUGAAAUCUCUGAGCUUAACUCAGAACGGCCAAGUGAUACUGCAGUGCUAGAGUGUGGAAGGGGCAAUCGGAAUUCUUGGUGUAGCGGUGAAAUGCGUAGAUAUCAAGAGGAACACCUGAGGUGAAGACGGGUUGCUGGGCCAACACUGACGCUGAGGCGCGAAAGCCAGGGGAGCAAACGGG